UACAGAGGGGGCAAGCGUUGUUCGGAAUUACUGGGCGUAAAGGGCGCGUAGGCGGCCUGCUAAGUCGAACGUGAAAUCCCUGGGCUCAACCCAGGAACUGCGUCCGAUACUGGUUGGCUUGAAUCCGGGAGAGGGACGUGGAAUUCCAGGUGUAGCGGUGAAAUGCGUAGAUAUCUGGAGGAACACCAGAGGCGAAGGCGGUUUCCUGGACAGUUACUGACGCUCAGGCACGAAAGCAUGGGGAGCAAAAGGG
rnacentral:rRNA from 1 species